UUUAUUACUGAGGAAGGUUGUGGUCGUUUCAUUUUCGGUUCGUAGGUUACUGUGUGAAAUUUGCUACAAUUUAGAUUUUGAACGUCCGAAGAUCGGAUCCCGGUUCUACUAAAGGCGAGCGGCAUAUGGUUUGUGGUCAUGCGUUUCGACAUCGGGUGUAGAAUCCUUGCCUACGAGUUUCUCUUACGAUCCAUUGCCCCGAAUACUCUACGACUUGGAGGUUCUGAUAAAUCUGAUGAAUCUGCAGGUUGUUCCUAGAGAUAUGAACAUAAAUAAAAACACAUUUUAUUUGCAUCUGGUGGUAAUAAAAGCUCGUAAGCUUAAAACCAGUGUGCUCAGUCAUUGGUUUUUUUUUAACGUAUCCCAGGUAGUGUAUUGUAAACUGCUCCUGUUACUUGUUUGGAACUUGUUGAUUCUAGUUUUCAAAUUAUUUUUUAUAGCAUUUUAACCUGAUAUUAUAUCCAGAAUCUUUAAGAGAUUUUAACGCAUGAAAUAAAAUUUAUUACCGUG